rnacentral:lncRNA from 1 species
UACUAUAUCACCCAAAUAUAAAUAUCCAUGUCUUAAAAGAAAACAAGUAAUCUUGCAAUUAUACAUAUUUUUGCAUGUAAGAAAAUAUCGUGUUUGUGUGUAUAUACGUAAAAAAUUAAGUAUACAUAUGUGUGCAUGUAGGAAUUCAAGUGGAUUUGCCUGUGUCCGCUGUGUUAAACAACCAUUUAUGUCAUCUAAUAACAUUUAGUUCUAUUCUGUUUAGACCAUUUCCC